rnacentral:rRNA from 1 species
GCGUGUGUGAAGAAGGCCUUCGGGUUGUAAAGCACUUUCAGUCGUGAGGAAGGUAGUGUAGUUAAUAGCUGCAUUAUUUGACGUUAGCGACAGAAGAAGCACCGGCUAACUCCGUGCCAGCAGCCGCGGUAAUACGGAGGGUGCGAGCGUUAAUCGGAAUUACUGGGCGUAAAGCGCAUGCAGGUGGUUUGUUAAGUCAGAUGUGAAAGCCCGGGGCUCAACCUCGGAAUAGCAUUUGAAACUGGCAGACUAGAGUACUGUAGAGGGGGGUAGAAUUUCAGGUGUAGCGGUGAAAUGCGUAGAGAUCUGAAGGAAUACCGGUGGCGAAGGCGGCCCCCUGGACAGAUACUGACACUCAGAUGCGAAAGCGUGGGGAGCAAACAGGAUUAGAUACCCUGGUAGUCCACGCCGUAAACGAUGUCUACUUGGAGGUUGUGGCCUUGAGCCGUGGCUUUCGGAGCUAACGCGUUAAGUAGACCGCCUGGGGAGUACGGUCGCAAGAUUAAAACUCAAAUGAAUUGACGGGGGGCCCGCACAAGCGGUGGAGCAUGUGGUUUAAUUCGAUGCAACGCGAAGAACCUUACCUACUCUUGACAUCCAGAGAACUUUCCAGAGAUGGAUUGGUGCCUUCGGGAACUCUGAGACAGGUGCUGCAUGGCUGUCGUCAGCUCGUGUUGUGAAAUGUUGGGUUAAGUCCCGCAACGAGCGCAACCCGUUAUCCUUGUUUGGCCAGCGAGUAAUGUCGGGAACUCCAGGGAGACUGCCGGGUGAUAAAGCGGA